rnacentral:rRNA from 1 species
GACGAACGCUGGCGGCGUGCUUAACACAUGCAAGUCGAACGAAGUGGCGAACGGGUGAGUAACGCGUAAUCAACCUGCCCUUCAGAGGGGGACAACAGUUGGAAACGUCUGCUAAUACCGCAUACUGAAGGAGAGGAUGGCGUCUUAUUAGCUAGGUGGAGGGGUAACGGCCCACCAAGGCGAUGAUCAGUAGCCGGUCUGAGAGGAUAAACAGCCACAUUGGGACUGAGGCACGGACCAGACUCCUACGGGAGGCAGCAGUGGGGAAUCUUCCGCAAUGGACGAAAGUCUGACGGAGCAACGCCGGGUAAUAC